rnacentral:pre_miRNA from 1 species
UAAAAGUAAACUCGUCGAAUUGGAACGUUUGCCUACGUUUGCCGCCAGGGGCGCUGUUCCAACUGCAUACAAAUUUGAGUUA